CAAGAUGACAGAAACAGACCUCUCUCCUGUGAGUCCGCACUUUCCUAAAGUACUCUAAAGCAUCUCUGAUUACUUUUCAGGGAGCUCCACGUCCGCAUCAGCCCAGCCCCCAUGGUGGUCCCUGGGCUCAUUCUCUGUGGAAAAGUACCCAGAGUGAUUCAUUAUCAUCCCCACUCACAUGGCUUCCUAGAAAUUAAUGUCGAUAAACACUGAGAAAAACUCUAGUAUAAAAAUACACUGUACUCCAGAACUCUCGCAGAGCAGACAUCAGUGCAAACUAGGGAAAGCCAAAGCUAAUUAGGAGAAAAGGGAUGUGCAGAAUCCAGGAAAAGCUGUGGGAGAGGAGUGAGUCCAGAUGCAUUUUGGAAAGGUCUGCAUUAAACUAAGUCACCACAGAGGAUGCUCAGGAAACAGUGGAGAAGGUAUGGGGGUCAGCUAUGAGUGUUCUGAAGCCUGUUGAGUGGGUACUUGCUGCUCCAUGUGCAGAGACUUUUGGGAGGGGCUGUGUGGGGAGGAGAGGAGGGCGUUGGCCCAGGAGCUGGCAAGCCUGGGUUUGAAUCUGGACUCCAGUGCUUGUUGACCAGUCCAGCUAAGUCACUGGAUUUUGCUGAGUUUCUAUUUUCUCCUUGGCAUAAUGGGACUAAUAAUAUGUUUCCUGUUUAACUUGCAGAAAAGGUGGGAAAACCACGUAAAGCAGCAAGAAGGUUUUGAAGGUUGUACAGAGGAUCCAAGGUACCAAAAGGAGGGAACAGACUCAGAACAGCAAGGGUGAUGCUCAGGCUCCGGCACAAGAAAGAAAGUAACUUUUGGAUUUAAGGCUUGGUAGCCAACCAAGCUCCAGAGAACAAUGGAAGCUGCCCAGCACCAGGCACGAGGGGCAGGCAGGUACAGGGAGGAGACCUGGAAAAAAUCACCAGACCAAC